rnacentral:rRNA from 1 species
CCCUACGGGAGGCAGCAGUGAGGAAUAUUGGUCAAUGGGCGGGGGCCUGAACCAGCCAAGUCGCGUGAGGGAAGACGGUCCUAUGGAUUGUAAACCUCUUUAGGCGGGGAGCAAUGCCGGGCACGCGUGCCCGGAGGGAGAGUACCCGCAGAAUAAGCAUCGGCUAACUCCGUGCCAGCAGCCGCGGUAAUACGGAGGAUGCGAGGGUUAUCCGGAUUUAUUGGGUUUAAAGGGUGCGUAGGCGGCAUGCCAAGUCAGCGGUAAAAUCGCGGGGCUCAACAUCGCUCCGCCGUUGAAACUG